rnacentral:rRNA from 1 species
GAUUGAACGCUGGCGGCAGGCCUAACACAUGCAAGUCGAGCGGUAGCACAGAGAGCUUGCUCUCGGGUGACGAGCGGCGGACGGGUGAGUAAUGUCUGGGAAACUGCCUGAUGGAGGGGGAUAACUACUGGAAACGGUAGCUAAUACCGCAUAAUGUCGCAAGACCAAAGUGGGGGACCUUCGGGCCUCAUGCCAUCAGAUGUGCCCAGAUGGGAUUAGCUAGUAGGUGGGGUAACGGCUCACCUAGGCGACGAUCCCUAGCUGGUCUGAGAGGAUGACCAGCCACACUGGAACUGAGACACGGUCCAGACUCCUACGGGAGGCAGCAGUGGGGAAUAUUGCACAAUGGGCGCAAGCCUGAUGCAGCCAUGCCGCGUGUGUGAAGAAGGCCUUCGGGUUGUAAAGCACUUUCAGCGGGGAGGAAGGCGGUGAGGUUAAUAACCUCAUCGAUUGACGUUACCCGCAGAAGAAGCACCGGCUAACUCCGUGCCAGCAGCCGCGGUAAUACGGAGGGUGCAAGCGUUAAUCGGAAUUACUGGGCGUAAAGCGCACGCAGGCGGUCUGUCAAGUCGGAUGUGAAAUCCCCGGGCUCAACCUGGGAACUGCAUUCGAAACUGGCAGGCUAGAGUCUUGUAGAGGGGGGUAGAAUUCCAGGUGUAGCGGUGAAAUGCGUAGAGAUCUGGAGGAAUACCGGUGGCGAAGGCGGCCCCCUGGACAAAGACUGACGCUCAGGUGCGAAAGCGUGGGGAGCAAACAGGAUUAGAUACCCUGGUAGUCCACGCCGUAAACGAUGUCGAUUUGGAGGUUGUGCCCUUGAGGCGUGGCUUCCGGAGCUAACGCGUUAAAUCGACCGCCUGGGGAGUACGGCCGCAAGGUUAAAACUCAAAUGAAUUGACGGGGGCCCGCACAAGCGGUGGAGCAUGUGGUUUAAUUCGAUGCAACGCGAAGAACCUUACCUGGUCUUGACAUCCACAGAACUUUCCAGAGAUGGAUUGGUGCCUUCGGGAACUGUGAGACAGGUGCUGCAUGGCUGUCGUCAGCUCGUGUUGUGAAAUGUUGGGUUAAGUCCCGCAACGAGCGCAACCCUUAUCCUUUGUUGCCAGCGGUCCGGCCGGGAACUCAAAGGAGACUGCCAGUGAUAAACUGGAGGAAGGUGGGGAUGACGUCAAGUCAUCAUGGCCCUUACGACCAGGGCUACACACGUGCUACAAUGGCAUAUACAAAGAGAAGCGACCUCGCGAGAGCAAGCGGACCUCAUAAAGUAUGUCGUAGUCCGGAUUGGAGUCUGCAACUCGACUCCAUGAAGUCGGAAUCGCUAGUAAUCGUAGAUCAGAAUGCUACGGUGAAUACGUUCCCGGGCCUUGUACACACCGCCCGUCACACCAUGGGAGUGGGUUGCAAAAGAAGUAGGUAGCUUAACCUUCGGGAGGGCGCUUACCACUUUGUGAUUCAUGACUGGGGUGAAGUCGUAACAAGG